rnacentral:lncRNA from 1 species
CUGGGCGCACACCGUCUGCACGGCCAUCCCAACCGGGACCUGCGAGGCUCGGGCUGCUGCCAGGCUCUAGUGCAAGUCGGGUCAAGGCGGCCUGACAGGACCUGCCGAGGGAGCCCGGGGCCUCGGGAGAGUCUGCGCGGGGCCCUGGGAGAACACAAAGGGCCUAAACAAGCACAAAGCCGCCACUGUCGUGAACAAGCCAGGGCCUCCUGGGGGCUGGAGGACCUUCCAGAUGGGAACAAAAGGCGUUGGCUCUUGAUUAAGGAAAGUCACUGGAUGGAUACUUGUCAUCUCCAGGACACUCAUCUGACUGCAGCCUCCUUGUGGAAGGGAUGGUGUGUCCUGAAUUAGCAGGAAAUACCAAGAGUUUCCAAGGGGACAGGAGCAGAGGCCCCUCGGAUCUUUGAGGUUGUCAUCUUCCUUUGCAAGUUUAGUCCUAAACCCGCUGACAACAAUCCAGUCUUCAGGAUGGAGGGCUGUCGGGAGCCCAGGGUAUCCUUGGUCAGACCGUGAGGCAUGUGAUACGGAGCCACGGAGGGCGGCAGAGUCCUUCUCAGAGAUCCGUCCACGCCACCAGCCCCAGGUCGACCGGAGGGUGUGUGGAAGCAGGAAAUUCAGGGGCUACAGUGAAACCCCGACUCUAGCUUCUCUGUUGCCAGUGAGUGACAGCUGGAUGUCAGGGGACUCACAAAUGUGGACUCAUACAAGGUUGGCAAAAGCGACAGGCUCAGAGGAACUGGCCCCAACUCAAACUAGGGUGCCCCCCCACUCUUGGCUCCCCCAAACCCGCAAGCCCUCACUUACCCGGCAGAAGCCUACUGCUCCCCUCCAAAAGCAGAGACAGCCGUGGAUUUUAAGACCUGAGAUGAUGCAUCACUGUGGCUGUAACACUGGACUGAAUCUUGUUCUGUGUUCUAUGUAUCAUAUUCUCUGAGAUAAAAAGGCAUUUCAGAGCAAAACAAAACACCAAACACAAGUUAAGAGCCACUGGAGUUACAUACGCAGGGAAGAGCAAAGGCCUCCAAGAAGGUGUGGUCAAAUGAACAGGAAGCUUUCCAAAGAACAGGGGCAAAUUCAGAAGAACGGGUAAGUUCAGAAGCUGGUGGUCCAGGUGAAUGUGGACCCCAAGGUCCAGUUCUGGGUUUUGCUUUGAGCUGCAAGCGUCAUCACUUUGUUCAAAACCCCCAGAGUUUUAUGUUUAUAAUAAAUGUAUUGCCUUGAUCA